rnacentral:rRNA from 1 species
AUACGUAGGGGGCAAGCGUUAUCCGGAUUUAUUGGGUUUAAAGGGAGCGCAGGCGGAGAUGCAAGCGUGACGUCAAAUUUCGGGGCUCAACCCCGUCUCGCGUCGCGAACUGCGUCCCUUGGUUGCGGGAAGGGGAGGCGGAACUCGUGGUGUAGCGGUGAAAUGCAUAGAUAUCACGAAGAACUCCGAUCGCGAAGGCAGCCUUCCGGCCCGUCAACGACGCUCAUGCUCGAAGGUGCGGGUAUCAAACAGGAUUAGAUACCCUGGUAGUCCGCACAGUAAACGAUGGACACCCGCGGUUUGGCCUAUAUGGCUGAGCCGCCAAGCGAAAGCGUUAAGUGUCCCACCUGGGGAGUACGCCGGCAACGGUGAAACUCAAAUGAAUUGACGGGG